UGAACGCUGGCGGCAGGCCUAACACAUGCAAGUCGAGCGGAAACGACAUCUUCGGAUGGGCGUCGAGCGGCGGACGGGUGAGUAACGCGUAGAAAUCUGGCUUUCAGUGGCGGAUAACCCGGGGAAACUCGGGCUAAUACGGCAUAAUCUCUACGGAGCAAAGCGGGGCUCUUCGACCCUCGCGCUGAAAGAUGAGUCUACGUCUGAUUAGCUGGUUGGUGCGGUAACGGCGUACCAAGGCGACGAUCAGUAGCUGGUCUGAGAGGAUGAUCAGCCACACCGGGACUGAGACACGGCCCGGACUCCUACGGGAGGCAGCAGUGGGGAAUAUUGGACAAUGGGCGAAAGCCUGAUCCAGCCAUGCCGCGUGUGUGAAGAAGGCCUUAGGGUUGUAAAGCACUUUAAGCAGGAAAGAAAAGCGCCGGGCUAAUACCCCGAGCGUAUUGACGGUACCUGCAGAAUAAGCACCGGCUACCUCCGUGCCAGCAGCCGCGGUAAU
rnacentral:rRNA from 1 species